rnacentral:rRNA from 1 species
GACCAGACUCCUACGGGAGGCAGCAGUGGGGAAUAUUGCACAAUGGGGGAAACCCUGAUGCAGCGACGCCGCGUGAGUGAAGAAGUAUUUCGGUAUGUAAAGCUCUAUCAGCAGGGAAGAAAAUGACGGUACCUGACUAAGAAGCCCCGGCUAACUACGUGCCAGCAGCCGCGGUAAUACGUAGGGGGCAAGCGUUAUCCGGAUUUACUGGGUGUAAAGGGAGCGUAGACGGCAUGGCAAGUCAGAUGUGAAAGCCCGGGGCUCAACCCCGGGACUGCAUUUGAAACUGUCAGGCUGGAGUGCAGGAGAGGUAAGUGGAAUUCCUAGUGUAGCGGUGAAAUGCGUAGAUAUUAGGAGGAACACCAGUGGCGAAGGCGGCUUACUGGACUGUAACUGACGUUGAGGCUCGAAAGCGUGGGGAGCAAACAGGAUUAGAUACCCUAGUAAUA